rnacentral:misc_RNA from 1 species
GAUGAAGAACGCAGCGAAAUGCGAUAAGUAAUGUGAAUUGCAGAAUUCAGUGAAUCAUCGAAUCUUUGAACGCACAUUGCGCCCGCCAGUAUUCUGGCGGGCAUGCCUGUCCGAGCGUCAUUUCAACCAUCAAGCCCCGGGCUUGUGUUGGGGACCUGCGUCCGACGCAGGCCCUGAAAACCAGUGGCGGGCUCGCUGUCCACACCGAGCGUAGUAACUAACCUCGCUAUGGAGUGGCGCGGGCGCCUGCCGUAAAACCCCCAAUUUCACAAGGUUGACCUCGGAUCAGGUAGGAAUACCCGCUGAACUUAAGCAUAUCAAUAAGCGGAGA